UCUGUUUCUUAUUUUUAUUGCACUUGUUUUAUAGUUUAUAUUCUGUUUUGACCAAAUAACACGAGACAGUAAUCACCAAAGAGGGAAAAGAAAAAUAAAAAAAAAGAGGAAGCAUGGAACCAAGAGGCUGUGGAUGGAAUUAGUUAGAAGAUACAUCCACUUUCCAUUUUAAAGGUUUUGACAUUUGAUAGGAAGCAAUGUGGAGGAGAAUCUAAUCCAACCACAAAUAGAUGGAAUUACCUUAUUUUAUGUUUUCUACCAUAGAAACUUGCAGUGUCUUUGGCCUAUUAUGCUUGUAUAAAGACAUGCAUAACAGUGUUAUAUUUCACUUUUCACUCACAUUAUUUGUUAGUUGGAUCUUUUGUUAGCCAACAAAAUGUACAAAUAGUGCCUCAUUAAUUGCACAAAGGUGAGAACAAAGAAACUAUAAAAUCGGAUACUCAUUGUUUUAUGCCAUCCAAAUGUCACAUGAAAUUUCCAUUUUACUGAUUGGGAAGUUUGAAGUAGUUAUAUUUUUUCUAGAUACUUUGAAGGAAUAUACAUAAUGUGAGAAUUUUUCUAUUUUAAUAUCCUUCUAUUAUGAAAACUUUGUGUAUUAUAAUUAUUAAAUGUGCCUUUCCACUUGUCUAAAACUAGAAUACACACACGCGCACACACACACACAUACACACACAUGCCUGCAUGCACGCACACCAUGCAUACAUACAUACAUACAUACAUACGUACCUACGUACGUGCGUACGUACCUACGUACGUGCGUACAUUCGUAUUUACGUAUAUAAAUAUGUAUGUAUGAUGCAUAGAUACACACACGCACGCACCCACGCACGCACGCAUAUACAUACACACACACACACAUACAUACAUAUAUAUACACACACAUACAUACAUAUAUCUAUAUAAAUACNN
rnacentral:lncRNA from 1 species